ensembl:lncRNA
CUGUAAACUAGCAGCAACUGCAGGACUUGGGAAUCUACUAGAAAUGCAGACUCUUCUCUUCCCUGUGCUGUGUGCUUAGUCGCUCAGUCAUGUCUGACUCUUUGCGACCCCAUGGACUGUAGCCCUCCAAGCUCCUCUGUCCAUGGAAUUUUCCAGGCAGGAAUACUGGAGUGGGUAUUCAUGCCUGCUUCCAGGGUAUAUUCCCAACACAGGGAUCAACUUGGUGUCCUAAGUCUCCUGCACUGGCAGGUGGAUUCAUUAUCACUGAGCCACCUGGGAAGCCCCGAGUAACUAAACUUGCCAUCAGUUUGCCUGCUAAGUCGCUUCAGUCCCAUCCAACUCUUUGCAGUCCUAAGGACUGUAACCUGCCAGGCUUCUCUGUCCAUGAGAUUCUCCAGGCAGGAAUACUGGAGUGUGUUGCCAUGUCUGCCUCCAGGAUAUCUCCCCCACACAGGGAUGGAACCCACAUCUCCUGCGUUGCAGACUGAUUCUUUACCACCAGUGCCACCUGGAAAACCGCCUGGGAAGGCCGCCGUUUAAACAUUGGCUAAACUGAGCCGCAGGCGCAUUGCUGAGCGGGGCGGACUUGGGGCGGUGCCUUUAACACCCCUACCCUCCCAGCAAGGGAACAACGGAAACGGAAGCUGAGCAUGCUCUUCUCUGAGCCCCGAGGCCCGGUGGGGCAGCUGCUACAGAAGGAAGCGUUAGUGUGGGGCAAGAGGAAUGACUGUUAAGUGGAUCCUCUUUCUUGGAACUAGAGCGCUGCUGAAGCGCCGCUGAAGCAGUGACGCCGCGGAGCAAGGAAAGAAAUUGUUACUACAAGACCGUGAAGCCACCGAGGAAUAAAAAGGGCACCCGCUUCAGCAGUCUGAGCCCAGCAAGCUGAGUUUUGCGGUUGAAGCUGUGCGUGGCAAAUUCCAAGCCAAGGUGGAUCAUUUAAUGUGUUUUUUGCUUGGGAACCCUGGCUCUGGGUAUAACAUUAUGGACUAACUUCUGACCACGUGGAGCUCACUGAAGAUUUUACGGUGACCUGUUACCAGAUGUAUCAUUGGCUUCGGAGUGGGCAGAGUCCACAAAUUUUGUACUUCAACUUUAACCCCAAAGCUAGCCAUAAGGAUAUGGGGAUCUGGCCGGAAGACAGUUUCAAUCUGCUUUGACCAGAGACAAAGGAGCGUCUACCUGUACUGUUGAGUGGGGGGAAGGAAUACCAGGAUCGGGGAGGGGUGAUCCUGCAGUAUUUCAACAAGUAUAGUAGCAUCCAUUUAGAUGGCUGUUCUUUAGUCUAUAAUGUUCAGAAUCCAAUCCCAAGAAACAAGAUGGAAUGUUUGUUUCUGGGAGAAACUCUUCUGUACAUAUAUCUUCUCUUUCCUGAUGACACGGACUUGCUCAACCUUGACAAAUAUGUGUUUAUAAUAUAGAGAGUCAUCCCCUGCCUAUCUGGACUUUAGCUUAAAAGGUUUGGAACAAUCCCCAAUUAUGAGA